rnacentral:sRNA from 1 species
CAGCGACAAUUUUUCGUAAGAACGCGUU